rnacentral:rRNA from 1 species
UACGUAGGGAGCAAGCGUUGUCCGGAAUCAUUGGGCGUAAAGCGCGCGUAGGUGGCCCCGUAAGUCCGCUGUGAAAGUCAAAGGCUCAACCUUUGAAAGCCGGUGGAUACUGUGGGACUAGAGUACGGAAGAGGCGAGUGGAAUUCCUGGUGUAGCGGUGGAAUGCGCAGAUAUCAGGAGGAACACCAAUAGCGAAGGCAGCUCGCUGGGACGCUACUGACACUGAGGCGCGAAAGCGUGGGGAGCGAACAGG